rnacentral:lncRNA from 1 species
CUUCUGCUCCUUGUCUCCCGGAGGCUCCCUGCCCUCAGCAAUAGAAGUGCCCUGGUCUUUGCCAGAACCAAACAGUGGUCACAGCUAGGACCUGCACCGGGGGUCCUGAAUCCACCUUGCCCGGUGCCCAGAUGCCCCUCCUGCUCUCUGGAUGGAGCCCACCCUCAACAAGCACUCCGGCAGGACCAGGUUCCAUGAAGACAAUGCCACUUGGAAUCUGAUAAGUAAUAUUUGGUACCAAGCCCAGAUCAGCUUUUCAUCACCCUAGACAAGAGAUGUGUUUGGGACUCUUCAGUCUCCCCUGAAGCCCUCAGGCAGGUCUCUGUCAUGCUGGGUGGGAUUAUGGUAACACUCUACCAGCAGCUCCCCACCUGCACCUCAGGCCAGGUUGGAGAGGGUGAAAAAGCAACAUAAAAAUGUCAGGUUCCUAUUGGGGAUUAGGAGACAGUCAACUCUAGCCAAGUUUUAUUUUUCCAUUCUAAAGGAAGAAGAAGAAAAAAACACAACCUAAAUUAUCCCAUUUUCCUUAACACACCAUAGAUGCGUGAAUUAGAAGAAAAAAUUUGUUAAACACCCAAACAAAAAGAAACAAUCUGGCCACCAGCCAGGAUUACUUUGCCUGGAGCGUUUUCCAUGACUCUAAGGCCAGCACACAAAAGGGUUUCUAAGAUCCAUUUCUGGUGAGAAUAAAAGCUGAAUCUGAAAAACAGAUGCCCCCUGAAAGUAAGAAACAGAAGAAAAUGCAAUCUGUCAACUAGCCACAAUUUAUUCUAUCAACUAUCAAAAAUUUAGUCUGACAUAUUUGCUGGGUAAAAUAACCAUGUUGACUGAUUGUUCUCCUGAAAAAGACAGUUUGAAUUCACCCAACUCCAGCUGAGACUCAAAUAGUCAUUUUCAACUAUUUCCAAAUAUUAAUAUUUUCUGCAAAGAGAACCUUUUAUAAAAUCUCAAUUUGUAAAACUGGCUAGAAACCCAGUUGCUCUGGUUGAAACUGGGGGUGGGUGCUCCAUGUGAUACAUUAAAUAUAUUACACCCCCUGAAACCCUCCCCUCAAUCCAGGAGCCUCUCUCUCUCUCUCUCUCCUGCUCUCUCUCUGUCACUCAGGCCGGAGUGCAGUGGAGCGAUCACAGCUCACUGCACCCUCAACCUCCAGGGCUCAGGUGAUCCUCCCACCUCAGUCUCCUGAGUAGCUGGGACCACAGGUACACGCCACCAUGUCUGGCUAAUUUUUUGAUUUCUUGUAAAGACAGUCUCACUAUGUUGCCCAGGCUGGUCUCCAACUCCUGGAGUUAAGCAAUCCUCCCACCUCAGCUUCCCAAAGUGCUAAGAUUGCAGGUGUGAGCCACCACACCGGCCUGAACAAAAUUCACAUAUUUUAAGAAUCUUUGAUGUAGACGGGGGACAGUUCUGCUAAUUUAAAAACAUCUAGAGUUUUGCAUUGUCACAAUAACUCAUGGUGGGUGUCAUUUCUAGAAUUUAGUGUAAGGGUUCAGGGAUGGUAAUGUAUGACACACAAUCCUGUCCAAAUGGCCAAGUAGCCCCCAGGAGAAAAAAACAAAAUAAAACUGGACAGAAGGCUUUAGCUGUCUUUACGAGGCGGGAGCUAAGGGUCACCCCCAAUGUGGCCCGCUACAGCCCCAGCCCCCUAUCUCUGUCUUGCAUGGUGCUUGCUUCUCUUCCUCUAGAGCCCAAAUAUACCAAAUGCUUCUUGCUCAGCCUCCUUUGCAUCCAGAAGCAGCCAUGGGACCCAAACCUGACCAAUGCAACGAGAGAGUCAAUAUUCUGAGGUGGGAAGAGUUCAAGGAAAAAUUUUGUUUCGUAAUGCAACGGAGGCACAAGAAGAAACUCUCCUUCCUGCCUUUGAAAAUAAUUGGUUGAGAACAACAUGCUGGAACCGAAGCAGCCUUUCUGUGAGCAUGAGGAGCCAUGCUUAAGAACAAGUCAAUCUGCUAAGGAAGGCAGAGCAGAGAGACAGAUAUGGUUGAGCUGCAUUCUUCAUCCCCUCUGUUAUAGGGGACAAUCUAUAUGAUUCUUCAAGUCUGUUAAUCAAGUCUUUGGUUGCUGACAGCCACACGCAUUUUAAUAGAUAUACUUUUCUCACUUCCAUUCAUCUGGAAGCAGAAAGAACAGCUCUGAGGGAAUCUUCUUUGCAGACGCUGACACUUCGAUUCUCACUGUGGUUUUUCUUGUUGACUUAGGGCCACAUAAAUCUUUCCCUCCUUCUUGGUACUUGAUCUUCUGCCUCUGCCGCAGGCUUGUUAUCUGUUUUCUGUAAGUAACGCAGGAGCUUCUGGUUAUAAACGACUUGCUAAACUUGAAUUCUUAAGAGUCGUUUAUCUGUUAGACCCACCCUAACCCAAUCAAUACUCAGUGAUAGGAGGUGUCAUCAAUGAUUGACUUUAAGAUAAAGCAGUUCUUCCCCUGCCCCUGCUAAUUUUUGUAUUUUUUUGGUAGAGACGGGGUUUUGCCAUGUUGGCCAGGCUGGUCUCAAACUCCUGAGCUCAGGUGAUCUGCCCGCCUCUGCCUCCCAACGUGCUGGGAUUACAGGUGUGAGCCACUGCGCCCGGCUUCGAAUCCAUUUUCCAAACACAUGUAGGUGAGUAUGGAAAUAGAUGAAAGGAUAUGGGUCACUUUACAAGAUAACAGCCUGGAAGAGGUCAUUGUGGGUUACAUGCAUUUGAAUUCGCUGCAAUAUAAGCUAAGAAAACAAUAAACUUUUCUCACAUAGGAGACUGGGUAUUACGAAGAGCUGUUCUUUAGUCCUUGCACCUUUAUCACUUUAUUUUAGAAACAAAACUCCCAUCUUCACCAUUUUCAUUUGAAAAAUCUCCCCUCUAUAUUUCAAUCUAUAUGAGCUGCAGUCAGAACUCUAGCCCAAGACCCAGAGCUAAACCAGUCAGCAUGUAGUUUUUCCAGAGCUAAACCAAUCAGCAUGUAGCUUUUCCAGAGGUAAGCCCAAUCAGCAUGUAGCUUUUCCAGAGCUAAGCUAAUCAGCAUGCAGCUUUUCCAGAGCUAAGCCAAUCAGUAUGUAGCUUUUCUAGAGCUAAGCUAAUCACCACGUGGUGUGCUCUGGCAACAGCAAUUUAUCAGGGGUGAGUGAGCACAUGACCUAAUGGUGACCCAAUCAGAAUGAGUCUCCGGACUUCCCUGGAAACUUGUGGCCCUUUUCUGCAGGAUUGAAACUUGGAUGAUGAGGCUGUGCCAUAACUUGCUACUAGAGCUGCAGAAUGAAGCUAACACAGCUGAGGGUAGAGUCAAGGCAUCAGGGAAACUGAGUCAAGUUGAAUUGAGUCCAGAAUCUACUGUCCCUGAAACCAGUACAAUACUUAGAUAUUUUGUUAUUUUGUUUUGGGAGAAAACAAAUUCCCUUCUUACUGAAACAAGUCUGGUCUGCAUUUUCUGUUGCUGGCUACCGAAGGAAGGGGUCCUAACUAAUAUCCUGGGGUAGAACAGUGCCCAGUUAUAGAGGCCCCAGUUUCCCCAUUACUCAUGAAGAGACAGUUGCUCUAAGGAGCUUCAGCAUCUACUGCCAGCAUCACCGUUCUGGUGCUCUGGUUCUGGGCGAUUCUUCCAUAACUUGUCUGAGCAUGUGAACUUUGGAACAGACUGCCUGAGUUCAAGUCUCAGCAUCACCACCACUAACUUUAUCAAGCCCUCCAUGUCUCAGUUGUCUUACUGUAAAAUGGAAAUGACUUUCAUAAACAUUAAAAUUGCUGUGAAAUGUGAAUGUGUUAAUAUGCAGACAGUGAUUAGCAUAGUGCCUGGCACAUAGCAAGCCCAUCAUCCAUGGCUGCCCUCAUUGUUGUUAUGUUCUUCUUUAUAUUGAGGAUCCAUCCAGAACCUCCCUUCAUUCUGCUGGUUGCCUCCAUUCUCUUGUGCCUCACUUGGCCAGUUCUCCAUCUUAGGAGCUUUGAAUUCCUUUCCUCAGUUCAAACGUUCCUGGUUUGUGUCCCAACCCUAAUAGGACUUCUCUUUCCAAGGUCACAGGUACCUAAUCUGAGAUGUCAACCCAGGUAGUAAGUUAGUGGUUUCAUCUUUAGACAGGGAUAGUGAAACUUUGCUUCUGUGCAUCUCAUUCUUGUUUAUAAAUCUCUUUAAAGAAUACGAACUUUGUAGUAUAUUUAUUUUUGGCUACCCAGAAUCUAUUGUACCAUCUUUGGGUAACUGAAUUCCAGUUUCCCCUGGGUAACCACCCUCCAAUGGCUGGACCAACCCUCUGUGUCAGGUGGACUAAAACCAUCAGGCUCUUUUUUUCCACAGCUCUGACUGGUCCAGGGAUGAGUAUGUGACACUUAAGUCCAACGAGAUGCAAUGAGACUUUUGUUGUGGCUUCUGGGAGUGCCAGAGGCUCUUUUCUACCAGGCUUAGUCAGCCUUGCAGCCACAGCAGGAGAUGCUAAGAACCGCCCUGAGAGGGAAAAAGAGGAGCAGAGGGAUCAAGAGACACUCAUCAGGAACUGCUGACAUUUGAGCCUCUGGAUCUGGCUGUGCCUGAAACUAACAAGCUACUCCUUCCACAUUCUAGUUAUCUGAUAUUAUAAAUUUAUUUCAUUUAAAGCUAUUUAACUUAGGUUUUGUUGUUGUUGCAUGCAACCAAGAGUGCUGACUGAUACAAUCUUCCAAUUAUAUGCUGUUUUUACUUUAAAAGGGGUGUUUGGUGUCUCAGCCUGAAAGGAGCAGUAAUGGUAGGAUUGAGGGCACAUAGCAAUCCAGGAAGAAGGCAAUGGUACAUAGACCCCUGAAAUCAUACCAGAUGGCCAGUUACUACUCAGUCUCUAGAUUCAGCUGGUUCUGCAAGAAGAGUUAUCAAGCUAUCAGCUUUCUCUUGCAGGCAUCCUUCUGUACCUUUAAGACAGAGCAUCUAAUUAGCUUUGGGUGGUUUCAGUUAGGCGUAUAGUGGAGAAAUUAAGAAAACAUUAAAACCAGGACCAUUGGAACAUGAGGAUGUGCGGCUUAAGAUUUACCCAAGAGGGGCUGACCUCAAUUAGGACGUUGAUGCUGGAUUGGGUGCUCUGGUUUUCCUCUACUUUAAAAACUGUUGGAUCCCUGAUAUGCCAAGACCCCAGAGAGAUGGAGAAACGUUUACGUGCAUGGAGGAAAAAAUAUCUUUUUAGAGUUACAAAGUGAGAAUCACAGUUAUUCUACCACUAUUAAGCCAGAAAAUCAUUGUCUAAAAUGGAUAUUUUUUUCUUUUUUAAUGUGUAAAUGAGCUUCUUGGUUGGUUUAAAGGGGCAAAGAUUCCCAUCAGCCUUCAGAGCUGGUCACUCAUCAGUGGAUUGGUAAAUGCAGAAUGGGGUUCGAGUCUGUAUCUUCUUUAGUGGAACAGUGGGUAAUGUCGUUUUGACUCACGAAUCAGUUUCCUUCACUCUUCUGGGCUAAUGACCCACUUCCUCCGGCUUCCCUUAGCUGCACCUGGUGUUUCUGUGGGAAAGGCCUUCACACUGACAUUCUUAUUUGAUAGUGAAUGUUGAUGGACACCAGGCCUGCUUAUGCACAAGAGCUUCUGACCUGGGAUCAGAGAAGGAAACGGAAUUUUAAAGAAAUGUCUCAAGAGUCAGAGAAGGCAGGAGCCGAGAAGUGAUCACUACUGACCUCAAGCUCAAAGACCUAUGGGAAGUAGCAAAAUUCAACAGGAUGAGUGGUGAAUCCCUGGGUCCUUGGUCAAAGGUCCUGAGGUCCUGAGGUCAAAUCAGAAGAGAAAAUGCAAAUUUGUCCAUGUAAGAAAUUUAUUCCAAAAAGUCAGAUACAAAAAUUUGACUUGACAAAGCAUGGUGGGUUUUGUAAAAAAAAAUAAAUGGUUAUAAAGAGGAGCUGAAUGUGGAAUAACUUUGCAUUUCACAGAGUUAACAUUUGAAGUUUCAGCUGUUUGCAAAUGACUCAUGGUGCUACUCAGCGUGGGUGAGGUUGUGCUGCAGUAACAAAUAAGACCAAAUAUAUCAGUGGUUUAAAUAAGAAGGCUGCAUUGCCACCACAGGGUCAGCUGAGACUUCUGUACAUUGGGGCCCACCUCACAGCACCUCCCUCUUGGCACAUCCUUCUACAAUCACUGUGGCAGGAGGAAGAUAACAUGGCUUCAUAAAGAUUGGCUUUUAAAAUAUUUGCCCAAGAGCAACACUACCAUUUUAUCCCACAUGUCCUAGGCAAAGUCAGUCAUAUGGCUGCACCUGCCUUCCAAGAUUGUGGGAAAGUGCUUGGAGGGACGGGGGAAUAUUUAGUGAGCAGUAGUCAUGACCACCAUACUCCAUGGUAUGCAGAAAUGUGGAGCAGGGCUGGUGGGUGGACCCACUCCACUUGGCUGCUGAGCAGGGCUGGCCCACUACUCAGAAUGUGGGUGCCAGGGAAGCCUGGGCUUCUCUCUCAUCUGCUUUGUAUAUUUCUCAUGAUUUGAUUCAAAUGCAGAUUCUUUGUGAAAAAUUAGCCCUGAUGAGAAAGCCAGUUCCUGAUCAUGGAAGUAAAGGGCAAAGGAAAAAAAUUAGAGGGUAAAAUACAAAGGACAAAAAUGACAAGGUUGUGUAAAUGACAAGAGUACUGUAAAUAUUGAUACUUUGCAAUAAAACUGUGCAUCGUCCUUUUGAGAGAUGACAACAUGCUAGCAGCCCUCACUCGCUCUCCAUGCCUACUUGGCCUCAGCGUCCAGUCUGGCCACACUUAAGGAGGCCUUCAGCCCACCGCUGCACUGUGGGAGCCCCGCUCUGGGCUGGCCAAGGCCGGAGUUGGCUCCCUCUGCUUGCGGGGAGGUGUGGAGGGAGAGGCGCAGGUGGGAACCAGGGCUGUGUGGGGCGCUUGUGGGCAAGCGUGAGUUCCGGGUGGGAGCGGGCUCGGCAAACCCAUUCCAGGGUGCCCUGCCCUUCACAAAGAAAACUCUCCCUGGGGCUCCCAUGGGCUUCUCUGGGAUCAGUCACGGGCUCCGUGGGCCCUACACUAGGAGUGGCCAGCCAGAGCCGCAGGCCCUGGGCAGUGAAGGGAUUAGCACCCAGGCCAGCAGCUGUGGAGGGUGCACCGGGUCCCCCAGCACUGCUGCCUGGCCCACGCUGCUCUUGAAUUCUUGCUGGGCCUCAGCCACCUCCCCGUGGGGCAGGGCUCGGGACUUGCAGCCCGCUGUGCUCAAGAGCCAGCCCCCCGGCAUGGGCUUCUGAAGGAGGCCACCCCCGGCUCCACGGCGCUGGGUCCCAUCAACCUAGGGCUGAGGAGUGCGGGCAUGCCGCUGCGGGACUGGUGGGCAGCUCUGCCCUCGUCCCUGGCUUGGGAUCCACUAGGCGAAGCCAGCUGGGCUCCUGAGUCAGGUGGGGAGUUGGAGAACGUUUAUGUCUAGCUGGAGUAUUGUAAAUGCACCAAUCAGCACUUUGUGUCUAGCUCAAGGUUUGUAAAUGCACCAAUCAGCACUCUGUGUCUAGCUCAAGGUUUGUAAAUACACCAAUCAGCACCCUAUGUCUACCUCAAGGUUUAUACAUGCACCAAUCAGUGCUCUGUGUCUAGCUAAUCUAGUGGGGACUUGGAGAACUUUUGUGUCUAGCUAAAGGAUUGUAAACGGACCAAUAAGCUCUCUGUAAAAUGGACCAAUCAGCUCUCUGUAAAAUGGACCAAUCAGCUCUCUGUAAAAUGAACCAAUCAGCAGGAUGUGGGUGGGGUCAGAUAAGGGAAUAAAAGCAGGCUGCCAGCGCCAGCAGUGGCAACCAGCUGGCGUUCCCUUUGGAGCUGUGGAAGCUUUGUUCUUUCGCUCUUUGCAAUAAAGCUUGCUGCUGCUCACUCUUUGGGUGGGUGUGCCUUAAUGAGCUGUAACACUCAUGGCGAAGGUCUGCAGCUUUACUCCUGAGGCCAGCGAGACCACAAACCCACCGGGAGGGACGAACAACUCUGGACGCACCACCUUUAUGAGCUGUGACACUCACUGCGAAGGUCUGCAGCUUCACUCAUGAGGACAGUGAGACCACGAACCCACCAGAAGGAAUGAACAGCUCCAGACGCACCACCAUUAGAACUGUAACACUCAUCUUAAGGGUCCACGGCUAUUCUUGAAGUCAGCAAGACCAAGAACACACCCAUUCUGGACACACUUUCAAAUGCAUCCAAUGGAAGCUAAAUAUCAUAGUUGAUUAAUAUGCAUGAUCUUUAAAAUAUAUUAACAAGCUUUUCUUAAUAGUUAGAAAUGCGUAUCAUUUCCUUUCCUCCUUCUACUUCCUCCGGAUAAUUUUAUCUUAUUUCAAUUUAUUUUGAUGCUAUCAAUUGCUUUACUUUUAAAUAUACUAUGUUUACAAUUUAAUCAGAACUGAGUUAUCAUUGGUGUUAUUUGUAACACCCAAGUGAUCAAAACAACACAAACACACAGUAAAUUUUGAUAAAUAAUUAUUAAGCAUCGAAGCAAUAUUUUAUUAAAAGUAAAGUCUUUAGGAGAUGGAUGGAGGGGGUUGUGGAGUCUUAAUUAAAGGACACUUGUCCCAGACCCCACUCUUAACAAGCUUUCCCCUUGUAGAAUGUGGGGUGGGGGGAUUUGCAUGCCUAAAGCAAAGCAUUCUGGAAAGGCUCUAGAUAAGUGAAGAUGGUACUUUUUUUUCUAAAAGGGAAAAGGGUGAUUAUGAAAGGGUAGAUGGGAAAGAACAGCAAGAGUGUUCUCAGGGUGAGUACUGCAGGGCAUGAGAACACACUGAGUUUGCGGUCCAUACCCAGAUACCCUUGCAUGGUGUUUGUGUGCCCCUCGGGAAUGAGGUGAUCUGAAUUCAAAAACCUUUUCUCUGCUCUCUGACUUACUGGCCUGGCAUUCCAUCCCCUACUGGCACUGGAAUCACUAGUAUUUUGUAAUGAGCACUGGGUCCUCUCCAUAGCAUUGCUCACACACCAUCGUGUCUGUCCCUGAGAAUGCGUCAAGCUGCUCAGGGCAACUAGUCUCGACCACCACCCCACCAUGUUGUAGAGGCAGAGGUGUGUUUUCAUUUGCUCAUGGACACCCAUGCACUAUUCCUUCCCUAGGCCUCCCUUCUCUCCAUGACUCCACCUCCUCACCACCGCCCCCUUCUUUCCCUCCUCCUUUUUCCUUCUACUCCCCUCCUUCCAUUCCCCUCCUCCUUAGCCAGUCUUACUUCUCCUUGAAAUCAUUAUCACAGAAUGAAGGCUUGGAUGUUGUUUGCAUACAACUAUUACAAAGAGACCCAAAGUGACAUUUCUUUAUGGGCCUGGGUUCCAGCCUGUGACAAACAGAGCUGAUAUCAGAGAAAACAAAUUGUUAAUGUUAUAUUGGAAUUUCACUGUGGGCACUAGAUAUUUGCAAGAGGUAACCAAAUGUACAAGGGGUCGAAGCAGAUGAAUUCCAUUCCAAAACCACUAAGACUAAAAAGCAGCUGCAAAUGAGGUUUGAAAUGGACAUCCUUCUCCUUAGAGACUUCACAGUGACAAAUGGAUUAGUCCCAAAGUGGAACACAAACCUGCUUUGCUUUCAUAGAAGCGAAGAAGACUAAUAAAGGCCGUGUCUCUAUCCAGCCCUGAAUCCACCAGGGCUCCGUCAACCUCUAUUUAAUAGCCCGAUGCUUCUCAGCUGAGCUUCUUAAUUAAGUCACCGUGAGAGCUGGCCCUUAAGAAACUCUUAAACACGCCGGGCGCAGUGGUUCAUGCCUGUAAUCCUAGCACUUUGGAAGGCGGAGGCGGGUGGAUCACUUGAGGUCCGGAGUUUGAAACCAGCCUGACCAACAUGCUGAAGCCCUGUCUCUACUAAAAAUACAAAAAAAUUAGCCAAGUGUGUUGGCGGGCACCUGUAAUCCUAGCUACUCAGGAGGCGGAGGUGCGAGAAUUGCUUGAACCCGGGAGGUGGAGGUUGCAGUGAGCCGAGAUUGUGCCACUGCACUCCAUCCUGGGCGACAGAGUGAGAUUCUGCCUCAAAAAAAAAAAAAAAAAAAAGUAAUCCCAGCACUUUGCAAGGCCGAGGUGGGUGGAUCACGAGGUCAGAAGUUCAAGACCAGCCUGGGCAAGAUGGUGAAACCCCGUCUCUAAUAAAAAUACAAAAAAAUUAGCUGGGCAUGGUGGCGGGUGCCUGUAAUUCCAGCUACUUGGGAGGCUGAGGCAGAGAAUUGCUUGAACCUGGGAGGUGGAAGUUGCAGUGAGCCGAGAUCAUGCCACUGCACUCCAGCCUGGGCAACAGAGCAAGACUUCGUCUCAAAAAAAAAAAAAAAAAAGAAAAGAAAAAGAAAAAAGAAACCCUUAAACAUUGAGUCCUAUUUAUUAAUUAAUGUUUAGCCUUCCUUAGUGUAAAAAUGUGUUUACUGAGUCUAUUAUUAUUUAUUAUAUUUUAAUUAAUAGUGUUUCCAAGGCAUGACUUGGAAAGAGAAGCUUUAGUCCACUCAUAACCCCAGGCAGUGCUCUCUCUAUAUGCUGCCAUGCAGGGUACUAAGAAAAAUAUACAAGCAAAGUUAUGUAAUAAAAUCUCUAGGAAACUGUUUUGCUGCUGCUUAUAGGGGACCUACAUUCCAAUUAGAAAGUGUGACACUCUGCAAAUUCAGCUUCAAGACCAGUAUCCUAACCUUUCUCCCGAUCCCAUAUCAGUCAGGAAAGACUGGGCAAUGCUCUAAUAACAAAUAACCCCCAAAUUGCAGCCAAAUUGCAGAAAUCACGGCAACAUUUCUUUCUCUUUUUCACAAAAAAGCAAUUGCGGGUCCAGAUGACUCUCGUGGGCAGCAUCCUCCAUGUGGACUCAGCCAUCCAGGUGGCCUCUAUCCUGCAGUGUCCACCUCACAGCUCUGGCACCAUCAUGGUGCAGAGUGCAGCCCUAGGAAGAUGGGAGACCCAGGAACUGGCCCUGUCUCUGCUGAUAGCUCCGUCAGCUUGAAUGAGGUCUAAGCCCCACGGACACUCUGCAUAAAGAAGCAUGCAUGUUGUGUAGGUAACGGGGUUGGAACUGUUGUGGUCAUUGCUUCAUGAGGGAAACUAGAUAGGGAUAGCACCAGGGAUGGCAGGCUGGAGCCUGGGGAGGGCGGAUCACAGAGAAGCUCUGUGACGUCGUCUGGGGUUAGGAACCCAUGAAAAGACUGAACUUCCUAUUAGGCAGGGAGAAAAUGGGGAGGGUCUGGCUUGAUGUCUCUUGGAGAAAUCUGGAUUACACAAAUAUGUGAGGCCAGGAAACCAACAAGGAAAACAUGACCUGUCUUUGCUGAUAAUGAUUGUCCUAUCUGCAUAAACUCACAAGGAUGGAAUAAGAAUAAAACCAACAACACACUUCCGCCAAGACUUGACAGUUUGCAAAGCAUUUUAAAAUACAAAGCCAACUCUGUUAAUGGUAACUUGGAUAGAUGUUCCAGCUUCAGUCCAAAUAUCUUACAGAUAUUUACUUUAGUCCUCAUAGCAUGACUAUCUUUAUUUCACAAUGAGGAAACUGAGCUAAGUAUUUUACCCGAGGUUUUACAGUUAGUAGCCAAGACAGGAUUCGAACCCAGGUAUCUGGCUCUAGAAGCCACACACUGAACUCUGCAUCCAGCAGCCUCUGCAGAAAACACAAUAAAACUCUUCUGAUGAUGCCAGUGGCUGGAAUUCCACCACUUAUACAGAACAAUAGGGCUGGAGUUGCUCUGAGAGAAUCAUGUCUAUUUCGAGGAAGUUGAGGAAAAAUAUACCUAAAUUUUGUUUUGGUGUAGUCUAAUCCUACAGUAUAAAGAACUUUUGUAUUGCAUUUGAAUUCUUUUAUUUAUUCUUUCAUGAGCAAAAACUUUUUGCACACUUACUGUGUUCCAGGUUCUGUUCUAAGCUUGUGCAGUGCAUGCUACCUCAUGCAACCUUUGCAACAACUCUCCCUGCUAGGGGGCCACUCUUUCCUAAAGCAGGCAGGGGCCCAGAACAGGCUGUUCCAGGCCUCCUCUAUGCCUUAUUAUCACAGAGAGAGCAUAGAAUAUUCCUCAAGCAACAAGAAAGAGCAAGGAAAUACAUGUUCAAUGCAGACAUCCACGUUUGUGUCAUCUCAGAGGAAGGAACAGGAUCACCCGUUCCCUCCAAGGGAAAAUAUACCCUUUUCUUUGCUUUUAUUGGUUUUAAGGCCUGGGACAGUAGUUCUCCACCUUCUUGGGUCACAUUGCCUUUCACUCUGCCAGAUUCUGUUUCCUUUCUGUGACACGAGGAUAGAAAUAACACGCAUGGCAAUGGAUUGGGGUGGUAUUCCAACGAAAUAAUGUAACGAUGGCCCUUUGUGAAGUGGAAUUCAUACAUUCAUUCACUCAUGCAUUCAACACAUUUACUGAGGGCCUAUUAUGUGCCAAGCUCCUCUUGAAGUCUCUGAGGCCUGAAGAGUGAAGACAGAAUAGAUGCUAAAGGCAGAUUUCUGGAACAAACUGCCUGGGGUCAAAUACUAGCCUCAUUACUCACUAACUAUGGGAAAGUUAAGUAUAAAACCUGACUCAAAGGGUUAGUGUCAAGUUUAAAGAAGUUAAUAUCUGUAAAACAUUUAAAAUAGUUCCUGGCAUAGAGUAAGUUCCAGAAAUCCUUUGAUAAUAAAAAAAUAUUUUUGAAAAGAACAACUAAGAAAAAUUACAUUCAGUAUUUCUACCUAAGGAGAUAUGGCUGUAUAUUUUACCUUAAAAAUAUCAGAGAUGUUAAAAUAAUAGAACAAUAAAUAGAAUAAUAAACAUCUGUAUAACUUUUUAAAAAGAUUUAAAGCCCACAUUUUGUGUUUUUUUUUUUUUUUUUUUUUUUUUUUAUGGAAACAGAGUCUUGCUCUGUCACCCAGGCUGGAGUGCAGUGGCGCCAUCUCGCUCCACCUCCCAGGUUCAUGCCAUUCUCCUGCCUCAGCCUCCAGAGUAGCUGGGACUACAGGUGCACGCCACCAAGCCCAGUAAAGCCCACAUUUUCUAAAUGUGAAAUAAAAUUUUAAUUCUUAAUCAUUAGCCAUCAAGAACACACAGAUAUCUAGAAUGCCCUAACUUAUUAAUGUCUUAAUGUAUUAGUUCAAGUCUCAAAAGCUUAAAGCAAUAAAAUGUAUUACCUGCUGAAGUAAACCCUCAUAUACCUGUGAUAGCAGUUCCUCCACCAUCAAGAAUCUGGAAAAAGGAGGAAAGCCUAGAAAACAACAACAACAACAAAACACUGCUUCUUAAAGAUAUCAACCCCAAAGUGACACCUAUCACUUCCUCUUUCAUGUCACUGGCCACCCCCACCUUCACUGAGAAGAAAAAGGUUAAUUCGACUACACACCUGACUUCACUGUUUGAUCAUCUGAUUGUGGACAAGUCACUUAAUUUGACUGUAUUUCAGUUUCCUUGUUUGUUAAAUGAAAACAGAAACAGUGCUUUGCUCAUGGCAUUGUCAUGAGACUUAAAUCAUACACAAAAAUGUUAGCUAUAAUGACAAUGUGAUCUACCCACAGAAAAUAUAAAGUAUUAUUUGUGUGUGCAUGUCUGUUUAAUGUGAGUAGUAUCAGACUACAUUUCCAAUGCCGAUAAAAAUGUGUGAUCUGACUGAAACAAUAACCUCGCAUUUUAUUUCAAACUUACACACUUACACAAUACAUCCAUACAUGCGAGUCACCAUUGCGUUUCGUUCCCAUGAAAACUUGGAUUGCGUCAGAGUUUUAUUGCUUUUGACCCAAUGCCACUUAAUGAUUGAAAAAAAAUGGUGGGUUCAUGUUUGGUAUUUCCUGAUGCGGGCAAGGGAGCAGGGCUGCUCUCAGCAGGCGGUUCUUACCCACGUGCUCACUGGCCCUCCGCAAGCUGAUGUCCAAGACGACAGACACAUGGUUUAGGGAGCUCAGAUGCUUGAACUGUGACGCAGCUGGAAACCCAAUCAGGACAUCGGAGAAGAAAGCAGAGUGAGGUGGGGUCAGAAGGGGGCACGUGGGACAUUCCCAGGAGUUGGAACUGAAGAGGGGUGAAAGGGAGGGAUGUGGGCAAAGUCAAGCUCUGGAAGCAGAGGCUCAGGGGGUACCCUGUGUUUGUGGUUGGGGACAGAGAUGGGGCAAUGAGGCCCAGCACCCAAAGGCCAACAGGGCUAAGGUGUGCAAUGACUUCAGGUUGACUCUGGAGGCUGAUGAGUUGUUUGUCUGGAUGGACGUGUGGUUGGCAGAUGUCUUGUGCCUGCCCAGCCUUCACCCCACACUUCUGGGGCCAUGCUCUGAGCUUGCUCAGGGAACCAUGGCUUUGCUGGUCUCAGCACAGCUCCAGAAAUGAUCAUGUGGCUCCGGUUUGACCAAUGAGGCGCCACAUCCCUCUGGCCACAAUGAUUGGCUCAGGAAUGGCAUGUGACCCAGUCAGACCCAAUCAAAGCUCACCCUGGGCCUUGCUAGGGGAGGAAGGAUGGAAGGUGUAAGACUCCACCUUCAGAGCCCCCUGGGUGGGGGUCACAUGUGCCUCAGGGUGAUGUCAAGAAGGUUGUGCUGAGAUGGAGAGAAAAAGAGUCAUAGUCCCUGGAUUUGGAUAUGCUCAAAGCCAGCUUGUCAUUGGCCUUUUCUUGGCAUGAGGCAAUACAUUCCUUUCCUUCGUUUAAACUAGUCGGACAUGGGUUUUCUGUCACUUACAACCUAAUGUCUUCUAAAACAGCCUUCCCCAACCUUUUUCACACCAGGGACUGGUUUCAUGGAAGACAAUUUUUCAACGCAUGGUGGGUGGUGGGGAGGGAUUGUUUCAGAAUGAAACUGUUCCCCCUCCUAUCAUCAGGCACUAGUUAGAUUCUCAUAAGGAACCCACAACCUAGACCGCUCGAACACGCAGUUCACAACAGGGUGAAUGCUCCUGUGGUAAUCUAAUGCAGGGAUGGCCAGCCUUUGGCUUCCCUGGGCCAUGUUGGAAGAAUUGUCUUGGGCCACACAUAGAAUACACUAACACGAAUGAUAGCCGAUGAGCUAAAAAAAAAAAAAAAAAAAAAAUUGCAAACAAAAAUCUCAUAACGUUUUAAGAAAGUUUACAAAUUUGUGUUGGCUGCAUUUUAUUGCGGCAUUAUUCACAAUAGCAAAGACUUGGAACCAACCCAAAUGUCCAACAACAAUAGACUGGAUUAAGAAAAUGUGGCACAUAUACACCAUGGAA